rnacentral:tRNA from 1 species
AAAGGUUAUAAUCCUUUUCUUUUUA